rnacentral:rRNA from 1 species
UACGGGGGGGGGAAGCGUUGUUCGGAAUUACUGGGCGUAAAGGGCUCGUAGGCGGCCAACUAAGUCAGACGUGAAAUCCCUCAGCUUAACUGGGGAACUGCGUCUGAUACUGGAUGGCUUGGAUUCGGGAGAGGAAUGCGGAAUUCCAGGUGUAGCGGUGAAAUGCGUAGAUAUCUGGAGGAACACCGGUGGCGAAGGCGGCAUUCUGGACCGAUAUUGACGCUGAGGAGCGAAAGCCAGGGGAGCAAACGGG